rnacentral:misc_RNA from 1 species
AAUCAUCAACUCUUAUUUCUUUUUCGGAGAUGAGAGCUUGGACUUGGAGGUCUUUGCUGGCUUUUUGAGCCGGCUCCUCUUGAAUGCAUUAGCUUGAACCUUUGCUGUAUCGGCCUCGGUGUGAUAAUUGUCUACGCCGUGGCUGUGAGGCUUACUUUAACUGGGCUCAGCUUCCAACCGUCUGCUUGCGGACAACAUCUCAUUGAC